GAUGAACGCUGGCGGCGUGCUUAACACAUGCAAGUCGAACGAAGCGCUUUAUUACGAUUCCUUCGGAAUGACGAUUUAGUGACUGAGUGGCGGACGGGUGAGUAACGCGUGGGUAACCUGCCUCAUACAGGGGGAUAACAGUUGGAAACGACUGCUAAUACCGCAUAAUGUCAUUUGGGGGCAUCCCUGAAUGACCAAAGAUUUAUUGCUGAAAGAUGGUCUCGCGUCUGAUUAGCUAGAUGGCGGGGUAACGGCCCACCAUGGCGACGAUCAGUAGCCGGUCUGAGAGGAUGAACGGCCACAUUGGGACUGAGAUACGGCCCAG
rnacentral:rRNA from 1 species